rnacentral:rRNA from 1 species
UACAGAGGGUGCGAGCGUUAAUCGGAAUUACUGGGCGUAAAGCGCGCGUAGGCGGCUUUGCAAGUCGGGUGUGAAAUCCCCAGGCUUAACCUGGGAACUGCAUUCGAGACUGCAUUGCUAGAGUAUGGGAGAGGGAAGUGGAAUUUCCGGUGGAGCGGUGAAAUGCGUUGAGAUCGGAAGGAACGCCCGUGGCGAAAGCGAGGUCCUGGACGCCUACUGACGCUGAGACGCGAAAGCCAGGGGAGCGAACGGG